UAUUCUUUGAGACAGCACUCUGUGAACAGCCUUUUCAGCCAUGACCUUCUGUGGUUUACCCUCCUUCUGUGUCUUCUGGACAACUGUCAAGUCAGGAGUCUUCCCCAUGAUAGUGGUUGUGUGUACUGAACCAGACUAAGAGAUUCAUGGUAUUUAUACUGCAUAAAUAGUGAGUUUCU